UAACAAGGAUUCCCCUAGUAACUGCGAGUGAAGCGGGAAGAGCUCAAAUUUUAAAUCUGGCGGUCUUGUGGCCGUCCGAGUUGUAAUCUGGAGAAGCGUUUUCCGCGUCGGACCGUGCACAAGUCUCCUGGAACGGAGCGUCAUAGAGGGUGAGAAUCCCGUCCAUGGCACGGACGCCCCGAUGCUUUGUGAUACGCUCUCGAAGAGUCGAGUUGUUUGGGAAUGCAGCUCAAAAUGGGUGGUAAAUUCCAUCUAAAGCUAAAUAUUGGCGAGAGACCGAUAGCGAACAAGUACCGUGAGGGAAAGAUGAAAAGCACUUUGGAAAGAGAGUUAAACAGUACGUGAAAUUGUUGAAAGGGAAACGCUUGAAGUCAGUCGCGUCCGGCGGAACUCAGCCUUGCUUCGGCCUGGUGUACUUUCCGUCGGACGGGUCAACAUCAGUUUUGGCCGGUGGAGAAAGGUGAGGGGAAUGUAGCGCCGUUUCGGCGGCGUGUUAUAGCCCCUUGUCAGAUACAUCGGUUGGGACUGAGGCCGGCAGCACGCCUUUUUGGCCGGGGGUUCGCCCCACGUCACGUGCUUAGGAUGUUGGCAUAAUGGCUUUAAGCGACCCGUCUUGAAACACGGACCAAGGAGUCUAACAUGCUUGCGAGUGUUCGGGUGGAAAACCCUUGCGCGUAAUGAAAGUGACAGUUGGGAACCUCCGCAAGGGGGUGCACCGACGCCCGGCCCUGACGUUCUCUGACGGUGCUGCGGUAGAGCAAGUAUGCUGGGACCCGAAAGAUGGUGAACUAUGCCUGAAUAGGGCGAAGCCAGAGGAAACUCUGGUGGAGGCUCGUAGCGAUUCUGACGUGCAAAUCGAUCGUCAAAUUUGGGUAUAGGGGCGAAAGACUAAUCGAACCAUCUAGUAACUGGUUCCUGCCGAAGUUUCCC
rnacentral:rRNA from 1 species